rnacentral:tRNA from 1 species
GUGCGUGUAGCGCAGUGGUAGCGCACCGGGUUGUGGCCCCGGUGGUCGUCGGUUCGAAUCCGUCCACGCACCCCA